UUUGUCUCACUUCCUCCUUAUCUGAGACACUGUGGGUAACGGUAGUUGCUCCCACUCCAUUGAUCUGUAGCACAGAAAUAGUCAGCCUCAUCCUCAGUCUGCAGUCCGGAGAUGAGCAGGACCCCUGCAUUGGCUGAGGCAUCUUUGGAUCCAGAGAAGUGGCUGGGGACCCCGGAGACCUGGUGCAGAUCUGAGUCUGAGUAGAAUCUCAGCAGACCGUGGAGGGCUCCCUGGCUGCUGCUGGAACCAGUAUGUUUGGUAGCUGCCCACACUGAACCCAGUGCUGAAGGUGCAGGUGAUUAUCUGUCUCCAUCAAAGGACACACAAUUCCAAGCUGUCAGCUCCAACUCUAAGCCAUGACCACACGCUUCACUCAAGCCUCCUUCCCUGGUUAUGUCUCUGAACUUCCAUUUCUAAGCCUGCAGCCUGGAGAUGAGCAGAAGCCCUGCUUGGGCCGAGGCAUCUUUGGAACCAUGGAAGCAGCUGGGGAACCCAGAGACCUGGUGCUUAUCUAAAUCUGACUAGAACCUCAGCAGAUACUGGGGAGGUCUCCCUGCCUGCUGUUGGAACCUGUACAUGUCAUAGCUGCCAACAUGGAAGCCACUAUUCAGUGCGCAGGUGAGUCUGGCUGAUGUCCCAGAGUUGCAGAGAGGGAGGGCGGCUGAGUCACCACAGGCUAUGACACGGUCCUUCAAACACAGACCCUCCUGGGUGAUGGGCAGGAGCCAGAGUAACACUUUUCAAUAUCUGACCCGGAGGGACUGAUGGAGCCUGAGAACGGGGACCCACUACCCAUGUCCUGAUCCUAUGUGUACCUUUAUAGAGGAGCAUAAAGACAGGAGUCCCGGCCUCUUGACCCAGGCCCUGUUCCUCACAAAUGGCUGGUCUGCCCCAGGCCUCCUUCUCUCCUCCACCCUCUGCCACUGGAGGGACUGUCCCUGCAAAUGGGCUCCAUCCAGUGACGUCCCAGCUUUCCCUGAUCCCUGAUGCUGGAGCUCAGCUCACACCAUGCACUGAGGAGGAUGGGGGUGGCUUCAGCCUUGCUGAGAGCCCUUGGAGGAAGCACCUGCUGAGACCACACACAAAUCCCUGCUCAGGGGACUCUGCCAGUGCUGAGAGGACACAGUCACACCGCGCCACCUUCUGGUCACAAUGCACCAAUCUCAACAAGGACCAAAGCCCUGAGAGCCCAGUGGCUUUCAGCAGCUCACCAGGUCCUGUGUAUUCUCACUAACAUGUCUUAGCUCUAGAUAACAUGGUUCAUAUACACUGUAUGUGAUUACUCCAGUUUCUCACUCCAUGAAGGGACAACUCUCUAUGGAAAGGGCAAAAUGUACACAAAUAAUCAAUUAGUGUUCACCAUCCUCAGAGAAGUUACUGCAAAAGGUGACUGUAUCCUGUCACACAUCACUGAUCAGAGGAUAGUGGAGCUGGUUUGAGGGUCUUGUGGGAGAUCUUCAGGAAAUGGUAGAGGCUGGACAUUUUCCAGGAAGUCAGCCCAGUGACAUAUUGCCAAGACAUCAAUGCAGCAUACAUUUCAAAGGUCAUGUGAUGCUGUUACAUUUUGAUCCCGAUCAGAUACGACCGAGCGAUUUGUGAAAAGCUACCAGCUUCGUUUGACUGAACACUUACUGGUGCAUAUUAGACAUAUCUCUUUAUGUUUGGAAGUGAGAUAUGUCUCCCGAAUUCUUGGUUUCUGAAUAUUUCUGCUUUCAAAUUCCUGUCUGGAUUCUGUCUUUGUUGCCUCACAAACUGUUUAUAUUGUAGCUGAAUUUAUUUUCCACUUGUUUCCUACCCAUUGCUUUCCUUUUGUAGGAAGAUGAAUGUGAUGUUUUAUUGUUUUUUCCACAUGGCUGGGAAAGGGGGUGCAGAAAUCAUGUCCUCACUGGUCCCCAAAACCAAAUCAGCUCUAUGUGCAAAUGGUCACCAAAUCUCAAGACUCACAGGGACCUUAAGUCAAAGGUCUAAGAUGACCAAGAUCCACCACAUCCCUCAGAAUCCCUCUCCUCAAUGCAUUCAGAGGGGUCCUUCUCUUUGAGCUCAGGCAGGUCCCCCCAUGGCUCCAACCCCUUCAGUGACUCCUCAGAGCUGUUUUCUCAAUACCCAAGCCCCUCCUACCCUGAAAGAUCCUUCCUGCUCUGGCCUGCACACUCCCCCACUCACCUUGCUGUUCUGCCCCUUGUCCCCUGCCCCAGCCUCAUCCAUCCUUUGUCCUUGGACUCCCUGAACUCAUUCCCUCCCAUGUUCUCCACACCAGGUUCUCUCAGAAGAAGCUGGGUUUCCCCUGGAGAUCAUAGUAAACACCCACAUUCUGGCCACAUUGUGCAUCUAUUGAAAGCAGGGCAGACACAAAGUAUAACACAUUGUGAUCUAUAGUUCUCUAUUGGUCUUCUACUGAUCUUCACUACUGUAGCUUUAUAAUAGGUCUUCAAGUUCAAGUGUCAGUUUUCUAACUUUGCUCUUCCCCUGCAAUAUUAUGCUGCUAAUUUGGAUCUUUUCCCUCUCUGCAAAAACUUUAGAAUCAAUUCCUCAGUAUUUACAAAAUAUUUUGCUGGGAUUUAAGGAUUGCAUUGAAUCUGCACAUCCAAUUUGGAGAACUGACAUCUUGAAAGUAAUGAGCUUUCUCACCAAUGAAUAUAGAAUAUCUCUCCGUUUAUUUAGUUUUUCUUUCAUUUCAUUCAUCAGAAUUGUGUUAUUUUCCUUAUAUAGAUCUUACACAUAUUAAUUUUGAUUUCUACCUAACAAUAUCCCCUUUUUUGGUGCUACAAUAAAUUGUGUAUAUUUCACACUCCACUUGCUCAAUGCUAGUUCACAGGUAAGCACUUCAUUUUUUUCUGUAUUAAGUGUCCAUUCUGAAACUACUUGUAAUUGCUUAUUAGUUUUGAUGUUUUUCUUUUCAUGUCAAUUCUUUUUAUUUUCUACAUAAAUGAUCAUAUCACCUAAGAAUAAUAUAGUUUAUUUAUGCUUCUUGAUCUGUAUGACUCCAGAAGAAAGGGUUUGGGUGAAUAUAGCUGCAUUUAUGGAGAUGAUUAUAUUUUUAAUUUAUUCUCUUAUAGAGUGAAAUAUAAUGACUGACUUUCAAAUGGUUUACAAACUUGAAGUGUCCAAAAUGACCACCUUUCAUGCAUUGGGGACUUUUUAAAGAUUUAUUUAAAUAUUUUCAGAGAGAGAGAGAGAGAGGUGGGGCAGAGGGAGAGAAUCCUCAACCAGAAUGUAGUGUGAAGCCCGACAUGGGUCACAAUCUCAUGAUCCAUCAGGUCAUGACAUGAGCCAAAACCAAGAGUAAGACGCUUAUCCAAGGGAGCCACCCAGGUGCCCCUUUGGUAUAUUGUUAGAUUAAAUUUGCAGAUAUUUUGUUAUAUUUUGGUCCCUAUGUCUAGGAAACAUAUUGAUUCUUAAUUUUCUGUAUUUUGAAAAUUUUAUCUGGUCUUAUAUCAGAGAAAAAACUAGAUGUAUGACAUAUAUUCAACGUUCUUCUUACUUCCUCAGUACCUCUGUAAUAUUUUCAUUAUUUCCUCCCUAAUGCUUGAUAAAAUUCUUUAGUGAAGCCCUCUGGGCCUGAAGUUUUCAUUGUGAUAAGGUGUCACUGAAAGCCAUGAACAAUUUCAAUCUAAGUGCUGGCAAGCAUGAGUUAAACAAAGUGAUGCCUCAUUCCUUGAACUAAAUGUACUGAGCAUAAAUUAUUCCUGGGGCUGCGUUGUACAUGGCUGUAAAUUUCCUAUAACAUUAAUAACAUUGUGGAUAUAAAAUAAACUGGUAAUUUAAGUUUCAGAAUUCUUUAGUAAUUUUUAAUGCAGGUGGUUUAUUUUAAAACAGAAAUAGUAGGGGCGCCUGGGUAGCACAGUCGUUAAGCAUCUGCCUUCGGCUCAGGGUGUGAUCCUAGUGUUCUGGGAUCAAACACCACAUCAUGCUUCUCCUCUGAGAGCCUGCCACUUCCUCUUCCACUCCCCCUGCUUGUGUUUUCUCUCUCGUUGGCUGUCUCUAUGUCAAAUAAAUAAAUAAAAAUCUAUAUAUAUAAAAAAAAGAAAUAGUAGAAACCAACCAAAUAUAAUAUCAAGUAUUGCACAAACUCAUUUAGUGGCAGGGGGACCAAACAGAAUAUAUACUGUUAAACUAUCCUAUGUCUCGAUAUUUUCCUGGGAGCCCAUUGUCGUCAGGGACCAUAGUGCUCAGGCCAUACAGUUUCCAGGCCGAAUUACAAACCUCUAUCCACUGGUCACGUAUUGUCCCCCACUGUGUUUCCCAGCAUGCAUUGUGCCACCGCACACUCAAAAGAAUGAAUUGGAAAUUUGAAAACACAAAUGAUACCAGUUUACAAAAGUCACUAUAAAAUAUUGGAAUAAACAAAAAGAUCAGAAUGAAAUACCAACUGAAAUGAUGGCAAAUAAAGGGCUCAGGCACUUAUGGAAUAAUUCAUCAUGAGCAGGUGGAGGUCAAAACUAGUAGCAAGGGUGCCUGAGGGUGCCCCACCUGGACACAUUUUCCAGGCAUUCCACAGACACCAGGUCCUAUUCACUUUCCUAUGGGGCAGGUGAGGGUGGGUCUGCAGCCAGAGGAGAAUGAUGGGGUUGAUAGGCUGAAUAUGGGAGAAGCACCCAGGAUCCCAGGAGCCCCUCACAUGCAAGAAUUAGAAAGAAAAGCACCCUCUGAGUGUCCUGUUUGGUCCUGCAUGAGUCAGGGUGGAGCUUCCUCCGGGCAGGGCUUGUAUCUCUGAGGGGAUGCUGAUGCAGGCUGACCAGGUCACUCUAGAGAUCUGUGUGUCCCCUGUGGUGUAUCUAGUGACUCCACUGCUUUCUUCCAGAGAGGGUCAGGGAACCAGCACUGGGAGGUCAUUAGCUCUACCCUGUUUUGGCAUCUGAUCCAGGGUCCAUGCCACAUCAUAUUUGACUCUCCACAUUCCAUAUUCCUCACACAACCCAGUCUCAGCCCAAAUUCUCCCUGAUGCUCAAGGUCAAUUUUCCUAAGAUAAAAGAGAUUAUUUUUUUAAGAUUUUAUGUAUUUGACAGAGAGAGAGCAAGAGAGCACAAGUGGUGGGGGGAGGUUCAGAGAGAGAGGGAGAAGUAAGCUCUCCACUGAGCAGGGAUCCCCAUGAGGAGCUUGAUCCCAGAACCCCAAGAUCAUGACUUGAGCCAAAGGCAGACACGUAACCGCCACCAGGCUCCCCAAUAACAUGGAUUCUAGUAGCUCAUAUUUUGAGUCAUUUGUGCAACUAUUAGCUAUGUUCAUAAAUGAGAUCUUCCUUUCAUUUUCACAUUGGAUACUCUUCUUUUGGGUUCUGUUCCUUCCUUUGAUUUGCUACAAUGCAACACACCCUCUAUUUUAAUAUAUAUAUUAUGAACCACUUUUUUCUAUAAACACUUAAACACUGUGGAGGGCAGAACAAGCCCCAUCUGACCUAGGACCCUGGAACCCAGAUCAGAAGGUGGCAGAAAGAAUCAAAGACAAAGACCUGUACCCAGAUGACAGGAGCGAAAAGCAGAGCCAAUGCCUUCAUCACCCCCCUCUACCUGUUCACUUUCCC